rnacentral:rRNA from 1 species
AUUGAACGCUGGCGGCAGGCCUAACACAUGCAAGUCGAACGAGUGGCGGACGGGUGAGUAAUGUCUGGGAAACUGCCCGAUGGAGGGGGAUAACUACUGGAAACGGUAGCUAAUACCGCAUACCAUCGGAUGUGCCAAGAUGGGCUUGUAUAGUAGGUGGGGUAACGGCUCACCUAGGCGACGAUCCCUAGCUGGUCUGCGAGGAUGACCAGCCACACUGGAACUGAGACACGGUCCAGACUCCUACGUGAGGCAGCAGUGGGGAAUAUUGCACAAUGGGCGAAAGCCUGAUGAAGCCAUGCCGCGUGUAUGAAGAAGGCCUUCGGGUUGUAAAGUACUUUCAGCGAGGAGGCGUUACUCGCAGAAGAAGCACCGGCUAACUCCGGGCCAGCAGCCGCGGUAAUUC